ACGCACGCUGGCGGCGUGCUUAACACAUGCAAGUCGAACGGAAAGGCCCUGCUUUUGUGGGGUGCUCGAGUGGCGAACGGGUGAGUAACACGUGAGUAACCUGCCCUUGACUUUGGGAUAACUUCAGGAAACUGGGGCUAAUACCGGAUAGGAGCUCCUGCUGCAUGGUGGGGGUUGGAAAGUUUCGGCGGUUGGGGAUGGACUCGCGGCUUAUCAGCUUGUUGGUGGGGUAGUGGCUUACCAAGGCUUUGACGGGUAGCCGGCCUGAGAGGGUGACCGGCCACAUUGAGACUGAGAUACGGCCCAGACUCCUACGGGAGGCAGCAGUGGGGAAUAUUGCACAAUGGGCGGAAGCCUGAUGCAGCAACGCCGCGUGCGGGAUGACGGCCUUCGGGUUGUAAACCGCUUUCGCCUGUGACGAAGCGUGAGUGACGGUAAUGGGUAAAGAAGCACCGGCUAACUACGUG
rnacentral:rRNA from 1 species